UUGGGAAUCUUGGACAAUGGGGGAAACCCUGAUCCAGCCAUGCCGCGUGAGUGAUGAAGGCCUUCGGGUUGUAAAACUCUUUCGACGGGGACGAUAAUGACGGUACCCGUAGAAGAAGCCCCGGCUAACUUCGUGCCAGCAGCCGCGGUAAUACGAAGGGGGCUAGCGUUGCUCGGAAUUACUGGGCGUAAAGCGCACGUAGGCGGACUUUUAAGUCGAGGGUGAAAUCCUGGAGCUCAACUCCAGAACUGCCUUCGAAACUGAAAGUCUUGAGUUCGGGAGAGGUGAGUGGAACUGCGAGUGUAGAGGUGAAAUUCGUAGAUAUUCGCAAGAACACCAGUGGCGAAGGCGGCUCACUGGCCCGAUACUGACGCUGAGGUGCGAAAGCGUGGGGAGCAAACA
rnacentral:rRNA from 1 species